GCCAGGCAUGGUGGCGCAUGCCUGUAGUCCCAGCUACUCGGGAGGCUGAGGCUGGAGGAUCUCUUGAGUCCAGGAGGUCUGGGCUGUAGUGUGCUAUGCCCAUUGUGUGUCUGCAGUAAGUUUGGCAUCAGUAUGGUGACCUCCUGGGAAUAGGGGACCACCAGGUUGCCUAAGGAGGGGUGAACCAGCCCAGGCCAGAAACAAAGCAGGUUAAAACUCCUGUGCUCAUUAGUAGUGGGAUUGCGCCUGUAAAUAGUCACUGCACUCUAGCCUGGGCAACAUAGCAAGACCCUUUCUCU
ensembl:misc_RNA Metazoa_SRP Metazoan signal recognition particle RNA